AGCAGAAGAAGAAUUGUUCUCAGGAUGCAAUUGAAACUCCAAUGGCGCAACAGAACGCGGAUAAAAUAUUGGAGAAGAGUACCCUGUUAUGCAAUGGUAAAGGAAGUAAUGCAGAUAAGGUUCAAGAUAGUGGGACAUCCCUAUUGGUCUUCAAGAAAGCUGAUAAAAACUAUAUUGAAGACAUUGAGACAACCCCAAAGUCCUGUCUUGAUGUAGUGUUUGAGUUAUUGGCUACCACUGCUGGCAC